rnacentral:rRNA from 1 species
UCUCGUCCCCUUAUGAUUUGGGCUACACACGUGCUACAAUGGACAAUACAAAGGGUAGCGAAACCGCGAGUCAAGCAAAUCCCAUAAAGUUGUUCUCAGUUCGGAUUGUAGUCUGCAACUCGACUAUAUGAAGCUGGAAUCGCUAGUAAUCGUAGAUCAGCAUGCUACGGUGAAUACGUUCCCGGGUCUUGUACACACCGCCCGUCACACCACGAGAGUUCGUAACACCCGAAGCCGGUGGAGUAACCAUUUGGAGCUAGCCGUCGAAGGUGGGACAAAUGAUUGGGGUGAAGUCGUAACAAGGUAGCCGUAUCGGAA